UACCAGCACCCCGAGUGGUCGGGACGAUUAUUGGGCCUAAAGCAUCCGUAGCCGGUUCUACAAGUCUUCCGUUAAAUCCACCUGCUUAACAGAUGGGCUGCGGAGGAUACUAUAGAGCUAGGAGGCGGGAGAGGCAAGCGGUACUUAGUGGGUAGGGGUAAAAUCCGUUGAUCCAUUGAAGACCACCAGUGGCGAAGGCGGCUUGCCAGAACGCACACGACGGUGAGGGAUGAAAGCUGGGGGAGCAAACCGG
rnacentral:rRNA from 1 species